ensembl:lncRNA
CCCUUUUCUCAUCUCGCUGUUUUCCCUGUCGGAUCGGCUUGCUACUGCUGCUCCCAACUGCACGCAAGGCUUCAGUAUUAGCCUACCAGCAUACUCCUCAUAAUGAAAGUGGAGAUGAAACUCAGAUAGACUGUAUUUCUUCUGCUCUGUGUCCUUGAUGGUCUACAUCCUGCCAGGGGAAAUAUUUACCAAGUAGCUAAUACUGCAACCACAGCCAGUCGCAGAGUGGCACUCUUCAGGAACUUGGACAGAGUAAUGAAAAUUUCAUAUCAGGGUUUGUGUUUUACUUUGGACAAUUUUUUAGUAUGUAUCCUCUCUAAUUCUUACCCUUCAUUUCUGCAAUGAUUAAAGAACUACACAUUUAGUGAGUAUUGUAGUAAGUAAUAUCAUAGUAAAUUCUGCUGUUGUUAGUGCUCCUCAGCAGUGAAUUUCCAAGUCCACAGAAAAGUGUUUUGGAUCCCAGCUCUGCUGAUGGCCCACAAGGCAGUUGACAUAGGCUCGGAUUCUUUCAGAGGAUGUAAUGUUGAAGUUGCAGAGCAGGUUAAAAAACUAUUAUCAGAUCUUCCCCCUAAUGGCCAUAUUAUUGAUUGCACUAUUUAUUUUACUCUGUGGUUUCUUUUUAGCAUGGUGAUAAAUCUCAGUUAGUAGUUUAGUUUUACAGGAAACCUCAGAAUCCUGAAAAAGGAUAGUAGUUCUGGGUAGUUCUAUCAGAGUCCGAAUAAGAGUAUCUUUUUCUUGGAUUGCAUAUUACAGAUCACCAAUUUUAUGAAUUAAUUUAUAAAUUAAAUGUAAAAUCUGCAAUAAAUGAGAGAAAAAUAUACUUUUAAAGUGACAUCACUUUCUGUGAGAGAACUUCCAGACUUUCAAUCAGAAAGAGCUUAUUCAAAACAAAAAUCACUGUGCCUUUGAAUGCAUUAUAAAUAAUCAAUAAAUCCUCCUGGUUCCACAAGCAUACCAGUGUCAGUUGAUCUGAUAUUAAGUCAAUCUUGACAUCUAGAUGUUGCUUUUAUUAUUAUUAUUAUUAUUUCAAGGAUAGUUUCAUUACUUUUAACAGCAGUCUAAUGUCCACAUUUGCAGGUGUCAGAGAAUUUCCAUUACAUUCAAAACUUAAGAUAUCAUUUUCUUUUCUUUAAAUUUUGGCACAGAAAAAUUGUAAUCAUUCACUUAAAUCUAUUACAAAAAUGGACUGAUAAGGAAAUAAGAAUUUGAGAUGAAGAGUAAGCUACAAAGACAUACAGAACACUUAAAUGUUGCUUUCGGUAUGCUAUUAUCUAUGUAUGAGAAGUAAAAGUGAUCUGUGAUGAACAUAGUAUGUGAGGAAACAGAAAACCUAAACUGUAUUACAAAUGGGAGUUAUCUGAAAAUUGCUUUUUUCAUUCUUUUCUUCACCCUCUAACUGGGUAACAUUCUUUUAUGAGAGCUCAUACGAGGACUCCAGCUAUGGACAAAAAGAAACACCCUAUUUGUUGCUUUUGCUUGCUUUCUUCUGAUGUUUCUCCUAGUGCACCAGAGUUCGUUGUGGAAAGAACUAAGAUUUGCCUGAUGAAUUUGAGAAAUACCACAAUUAUACCAGUCUAUGUGUAGCCUAAAAUGCUUGUUAUUAAGGCUCAGAUGGACUGAUUUUCAUUCUACACAUCCAGUCAGCCUGGAUACCCUUGUUUAUCUACGUGAUCAUGUCGUUAUAGUAAAAUUAAUUAUUUCAUAUUCAGUAUUCAGUAUAUUCAGAAUUUCAGUAAAAUAAAAUUUGGUGAACUGAAGGAAGGGAACAUGUAAAAAUGUAUUUUCUGUUAUGAUAACAAUCAAACCUUAUUCAUUAAAUAAAUUAGUUUUUAACCUGCAGUUUAUCAAUAUAACAUUUUUUUUUUGCCAUUUUCAAGAAACUAGAAAAUUGUUUACUGUGCCUGAUUUAGUUUUUUUUAAAUGUUAAAAUAAAACGAGUGAAUGAUACAAUUCCAAAUAAUAUAAAAUUCAGCAUCAAGAAAUCUUGCUUAAUUUACUUCAACAAUAAUAGCAUGAAUUUUAAUUUUUAUAAGUAAAGAGUUGGAAAACAGAAAAAAAAUUCAAUUCACAGUCAGUUUUCUUCAAUCCUUUCUCAGUGUUAUUUAUGUAUUUGCAGUAUGUUUUGAACAGUUAGAUGUCAAUUAUAACAAAAUAUUAAAUCAAUUUUAAACUUUGUUUUUUUGGGACCAUUAUACAAAACUUACCUAUGUUUUUGUUUGUUUGUUUGUUUGUUUUGGGGGGGGGGGUGUCAUCUCAUGACAUGAAAACAAUAGAAGAGAUCUAAUUUUCAUUUUCAAGAUUGCAGGGCUGCUAAAUAUUAUUUGUUGUUUUAUUAUUUAUCUUUAUUUUUUCAGAACAGAAUAAAAUAACUUGAAUUUUAUUUUCACC